CAUAGUUUCCUUUUAUCGAAACAAACCUGAUUGCUCAUCGUUUCUUAACAAUAGAUAGAUUGUACAUAAUCAUAUCUUGACUCAAAACAUAGCAUCCAAGAUCCAACAGUAGUUUAGCACACAGGCACACGAACCAAAAUCGCAAGACUGGACAUAACUAAAGUUUAACGACACAUGACGCUUAAUUUGACUUAAAUUUAAAAACAUCAAGUAGACAGCAGCAAGCAGCGUGCAAGAUCAGUAUCACUGGCAUCCCCCAACUUGUAAACUUCAAGCUUCAUUGGUCCUGCAGAGUUGAAGUAGGCACGGAAGCUUCUGUCCUCAUGAUUUCACGAGGCUCGGAGGACAUCUACAAUCAACAAAGUUGCAUCGAUCAAUAAGGAUUUAGUAAUACGAGCAAUGACCAAAAUCCCCACUACUUGUUAGCAAGAAUUCUGUAUUACUCUAAAAUAAAAUAAUAUCUAUGUGUGAACUGUACGCCUCGUUUAAUACAUGAUUCACAACAGCAUGGUCCUAUAGAUACAGUGAAUGUACACUGACAACAUACCGUUUUUGCAGUUGAUAUCUAACUAAGACAUCUCUUCCCAAAUUCCCCAGAUUGUUCCGAUGGUUACCACGGACGCCAGCCAACAUUAUGGUCGUCCUCAAAUAUUGUCGUGCCCAAACAACAAAUAAGCGACAACUAACUCUAGUUGUUCAGGGCAAAAGACAACACAACAUGUGAAUUGCACACGAUCCCUGUACUUUUAUUUUGGUUGCAAGACUUUCACAUUCGUACAAAAUUCAAAAGUUCAGAUACAGAAAAAAUCAUCAAAAGUGCAACAAAGUCACUUCAGGUGAAUGAUCAAACCAUACAGUCUACACAAACUAUUUGAGAAGCAAUUGAAUUAGGAAUAGAAGACAGUGAGAAACAGAACAAGAACAUACAGCCUGCAGGAACGUCCUGUGUCCGUCGACUCGUCGGUAUUCUUCAGGUCCAGCAAAUUAGCAGGAUGGUUGCGCGGGUAAAACUACUUGAGCUGCUGGUUGUGCUCCUAUGGAUCCGUCUCCAGCGAGCUUGGUAGGGUACGGAGAUCCUUCUCCUGUGACCGCGAGUCACGUUGCUAGGGCUGCCAUCGACCAUGGUUGUAGGAGGUCACCGGGGUGGGUCUCUUCUCUAUCAGAUCUGAGACAAACCAUACAAAAUCUAUAUUAACCAUCAAGUUAGCAUGGCAUAUAUUUACAUAGAAACAACACAACAUCCUAAUUGAUAAUUUUCCUUCUUCCUUAUAGUUCUAAUUUUGAACAUGGCACAAUGAUUUAUUCCCCAUUUUAAUCUUAUACUCGAAUUCAAAUUCAAUCUGUGACACGCAUGUCUAUACGCCCAAUCUAAAAUCUGAGAAGAGCGGAAAAAGUGAGAAAGUUCCCUCGGUUAUCCCAAGUUUCUAGCUAAAUGGAAGGUACAUGAAAAAAAUAUGCAUUGCUGGAGUCAGAAGCAUGAAAUUUAGCACAAUCCCAGAAUACAAAGUUCAUACCUGCAUGGUCGUCUUGUUUAUUAUCGCCAUUGUAACCUAGAAUGCAAAAAUGCAUUACUAUCUUGCAAGGGCUUGAUCGACUAUAGUGUAGCCUGCUCAUAAACAGCCAAACAGGCUCGACAUGCACAACCCCAGAAAAACCUCCGCUCUGACAAAUGGUAAAAACUCAAGUUUUACCCCGCCUGCAAGAACUGAACCUCCUCAGCAACAUCAGAAAUGUAGGACAAGGCAUGUAAGUGACAUUAUUUUGAGGAUGAAAAAAAUGUAUAUAUAUAUACAUCAGUUGGGAACUGAUUAUAUGCCUUUAGAUUCAAUAACUCAAUUAUCCUAUAAAGAUAUUAAGCCUAGAGAGCCCUUUAUAGCAGAAGAAAGCUUCACAUACAUGAUAGCCAUUUUUUUAAUGUAAAUCAAUAUAGCAAAUGCAACGAGUAGUAGACGUGUGAGGUCAGUGUUGCUUGCUGGCAAGAAAAUGGAAGCAGAAACAUGUGAAUAAACAACAACUGUAUACAUGUGGUAUUACUAAUAUUUUUUGCCUUGGACAAACAUGUGAUAUGGAAUUUAACUAUUGGAACCAUAUAUGAACUGAACAAUGUGCAUUGUCUAAAGCUAGCACAACAUCUCUUCCUAUGAUAUGGUUCAUAUGUAUUCAACCAAUUCAAGCCCUUGUGCUUAACCAGUUCUACUUUCAGUUCAGCAUACAAAAGGAACGAAUAGGAAGUUGAGUAAACGAAAACAAAUUUCGAUAAAAAUGAUGCUAGUGGUUGCUUUGGUAGUUCAACUGAUUCACAGAACUGAUCAAAUCUGAGAAAGUUAUUGGUUGCAACGGAAAUGUGACAUUAUCCUACACACCUAUAUUAACCAUCAAGUUAGCAUGGCAUAUAUUUACACAGAAACAACACAACAUCCUAAUUGAUAAUUUUCCUUCUUCCCUAUAGUUCUAAUUUUGAACAUGGCACAAUGAUCUAUUCCCCAUUUUAAUCUUAUACUCGAAUUCAAAUUCAAUCUGUGACACACAUGUCUAUAUGCCCAAUCUAAAAUCUGAGAAGAGCGGAAAAAGUGAGAAAGUUCCCUUUGUUAUCCCAAGUUUCUAGCUAAAUGGAAGGUACAUGAAAAAAAUGCAUUUCUGGAGUCAGAAGCAUGAAAUUUAGCACAAUCCCAGAAUACAAAGUUCAUAUCUGCAUGGUCUGUCUUGUUUAUUACUCGCCAUUGUAACCCCAGAAUGCAAAAAUGCAUUAAUAUCUUGAGAAAUUAACUAAGCACUGGACCCAACUGGACCCCUGAUCAUAGAGAUUUUACUUGCAUGUGUCAUCGAUGAGACCGAUAUCUCCCUCAAACUGAGAUCAUCAUCCAAAUGAAUCCAGGCAUGCUUAAUGACUUAUACUUGGAGAUGCAGUUGCUUCUGAUACUCAACGGCCCCAUCAAGAAUUGAUGCCUAACCCCGCAGACCAAUGCAAACAUGAACCCAUUAAUUUCAUCACAAACAUAAACGCAGGAGCACCAAAUUCAGCGACAAAGAAAGAAGGAAAAAUGGAGUGACCUUGUUGGAAUUGGGUAGCAGGCUCUGCAACACCUUCAAUCUUCCAGCCGAUCGACCCAGGCAACGUCUUCCUUGCUCUUCUUGUUCCUCUUCUUCCUCUUUCAUUUCUUCUCACCUUCUCACCCUCCUCUUUGCUCUCAGGUACCAAAGUGCCUGCACAAUCACUACCAUCAACAAAACUGGAAACCCAAGGUGUUACAUGGAAUAACCUUUUUUCAGAAAUAAUUCAACUCUAUCGUGAAGCAAGCUAUGAACAAAACAAGACCAGACCGUUCAUAGUAUAUACAGUUGUUGAAGAGCAAGUAGUAUAUACUCCCUCCGUCCGGAAAUACUCGUCGGAUGAAUGGAUGUAUCUAGAUGUAUUUUAGUUAUAGAUACAUUCAUUUUUAUGCAUUUCUCCGACAAGUAUUUCCGGACGGAGGGAAUAAAAUUUAGAGCUAAGUAUCAUUAAGGGCUCCUUUAACACAAGCAGAGAUAGCAUGAUCAUAAUAUACUCCCUCCGUUCCUUGAUAUAAGGUGUAUAGAUUUUUGAGAAAAAGUCCGAAAUAUAAGGUGUAUUGCGUUGCACCACUCGUUUGGAUUUGUUUAGGGAUUGCAGACAGGAACUACAGACCGGACCACGAUCGUAGCUAAAAGAACUGAAGAGCGAGCAAGCUCCCUGUAAGUCGACGUAUAUUCAUAAUUAUAGUCUAAAACAACAAACCCAUCCAACCCGAGUAAAAGCAAGAAUGUUAUAGAAAGCUCCCUAUAAGUCGACGUAUAUUCAUAAUUAAAGCAAGAAUGAAUCUACAUUGUCUUGAGCCUAAAACCUCAUCAUGCUCAGGGAAUCUCUUCCGGGCACCUCCGGCAAGGCAAGGCAAGGCAGAUCUAACUGAUUUAACACCUCCGGCAAGCACGCACGCACACAAAGAGUCACAGUAUCCUCAUCUUGAUGAAAGCAAAAAUGUAUCAUGUACUGUAAAUACAUACCUUGACCUGGAAAAGGUAUGGCCCAGUCUCAAUUGACAGUCUUAAUGAUUCAUGUUGGCCUUUAGAUAAGUUUUUUAACAACAAUUUUGCUUGCUGCUUGUAGAUCAACUAUAUUAUCACAAGAAAAUAAAUGGCUCCUGAAAUUACAAUUUGGGUAUUUGGUGAACUAUCAAACAAAACAAAUAAUCAGAAUAUUUGAUUAACAACGCAGGAAACCUCAUGAGGAGCCGGAGAAACCAACGGCAGGUGGCAGCGAGGCUCAAUAAGUCACUUCCGUUAAGGUGCCUGUCUACCAUCAUA
rnacentral:lncRNA from 1 species